AGCAGUCGCCGCGGUAAUACGAAGGGGGCUAGCGUUACUCGGAAUUACUGGGCGUAAAGGGCGCGUAGGCGGCGCUCCAAGUUAGGCGUGAAAGUCCUGGGCUCAACCUGGGAACUGCGCUUAAGACUGGAGUGCUUGAGGAUGGAAGAGGGUUGUGGAAUUCCCAGUGUAGAGGUGAAAUUCGUAGAUAUUGGGAAGAACACCGGUGGCGAAGGCGGCAACCUGGUCCAUUACUGACGCUGAGGCGCGACAGCGUGGGGAGCAAACAGGAUUAGAUACCCCUGUAGUCCCUGUCUCUUAUAC
rnacentral:rRNA from 1 species